rnacentral:rRNA from 1 species
UUAUCGUUCAUCGUCGUGUCCAACUGUUUUUUAAGAAUAAGAAAUUUUAACUAAUAAUUAAUAUUUUUGAAUGUAUUAAAAGAAUAAGUACCGGCUAAUCACGUGCCAGCAGCCGCGGUAAUACGUGGGGUGCUAGCGUUAAUCAAAAUUAUUGGGCGUAAAGCGUGCUAAGGUUGUUUAAAAAGAUUUAUAUUAAAUUUUAAUUUUUUAAAGAGUAUAAAUUACUAUUAAACUUGAGUUUAGUAUAAGAAAAUAGAAUUUUAUGUGUAGCGGUGAAAUGUGUUGAUAUAUAAAAGAAUGCCGAAGGCGAAAGCAGUUUUCUCGACUAAUUUACUGACUCUGAAGCACGAAAGCGUGGGUAGCAAACAGGAUUAGAUACCCUGGUAGUCCACGCUGUAAACGAUGUCAAUUAGCUAUUAGAUUUGUUUUAGUGGCGUAGCUAACGCGUUAAAUUGACCGCCUGGGGAUUACGAUCGCAAGAUUAAAACUCAAAGGAAUUGACGGGGACCAGCACAAGCGGUGGAUGAUGUGGAUUAAUUCGAUGAUACGCGAAAAACCUUACCUACUCUUGACAUGGUUGGAAUUUUAUUGAAAGAUAAAAGUGCUUGAAAAAGAACCAACACACAGGUGUUGCAUGGCUGUCGUCAGCUCGUGUCGUGAGAUGUUGGGUUAAGUCCCGCAACGAGCGUAACCCUUACUCUUAGUUGCUAAAAAUUCAAGAACUUUAAGAGAACUGCCAAUGAUAAAUUCGGAGGAAGGAGGGGAUGACUUCAAGUCCUCAUGGCCCUUAUGAGUAGGGCUUCACACGUCAUACAAUGGUUGAUACAAUAAGUUGCAAUAUUGUGAAAUUGAGCUAAUCUUUAAAAUCAAUCUUAGUUCGGAUUGUACUCUGCAACUCGAGUACAUGAAGCAGGAAUCGCUAGUAAUCGCGGAUCAGCGUGUCGCGGUGAAUAAGUCAACUGGUCUGUACACACCGCCCGUCACACCAUGGAAGUAAAUUUUAUUUUAAAUAAAAAUUCCUUAAUGGUUAAUUUUUAUCACACUAUAAC